rnacentral:lncRNA from 1 species
UGAUUUUAACAAACACAGUCCAUACGCAACAAUAAUAAAGAUGAAAAGUCCCUGCUGACCACCAUUGGAGAAGCAUCCUCAGACAGUUCCUGCAUGCUUGUGCUCCCUCAUGCUGCCUUCUCCUGCAUCAGGCUCCUCUCUGCUCAGCAGGGUGGCGGGCAACCUUGACUGCUCCAGAGAGUCCCUGGGGGCCAAGAUCCCUUCCUGGUUGUGCCAAGUCUUUCUUUUUGAUGAGUUACACCUCCUUCAGAGCCAGCGCUGGCGUGACUCACCCUGGCGGGCGCUGCUGUGCACUCAUCUGCCCAAGCUGUCGCCCUGCUGCGAAAAAGCUGCAGAAAGAGGAGACUGGGAGCAAACUUAACCUUAUUUUGGAUUGCUCGCUGCCGUCUAGGAGCAGUGAGAAUUAGGAAUCAAUUUCCAUUUACCCACUUCAAAGCGAAUUGUACUGUCGGCCCAAGGAAGCGUGGGGCGCAGCUGAGGAAGAUGCUGCUUUUGUGCUGGAAAUGUUGCAAGGUUCAAAGUGCAUCUAGGUGCAACGUGUGUGCAGAUGAGUCAGGAGAUCCUUGCUUCAAAUGUGAGCUCUUCAAAGCGGCGCCUUCCUUUUCUGGUGCGUCUCGCACAGACCUCUCCUUUAAAGACCACAAAGCUGUAACGAAAUGCUGAACCGCUCUAAUGUGUGAACUGAGGCUGCCAUCCACUGCAAAGCAGGACUCCCCCAGGGUUUCCUGCUGCCCCAGGCAGAUAAAAUGUGGCUGCCCGUCUUUAUUGUUCCCAUUGGAGGUGCUGCAUGUGGCCGUCCACCCUGGAGGUCUGUUGCUUCCACCAGCCCUGCCCCAGGGCUGCCUUCAGGGGCAGAAAUUUGGCGCUCAUUAGAAAGAGAUAAAAAACAAUUAGAUUGCAGAUAAAAUGAGUUAUCUCUGCUUGGAAGGCUUGUCAGUCCAUCGCUUUCUCUGUGGUUAGAGAAGGUAUUGUGCCAAGCUCUCUGGUCCAUGCUAGUUGCUCCAUCACUGUUUGCACCAGGCGUGGUCAGUGCCUGAACGGGAAGAAGAUCUGCCCCCGCACCCAAGGUCUGCACCUGAGUCUGCUCCACAACACACAGGCUUGGAGCCUGGCCUGGAGCCCUCAGACAAGGCAUUUGUAAUUAGUUCUGGUAAUUAACCCAGCACCCCUACACCCCAUGCCACACCACCCUCCUCCCGGCUCAUCAGAAUGGCACUAUCUCUUGCAGCAUUACUUCACAAAACACAGCCCUGUCCGCGGCUUAAACCCUGGCCUCUUUAAUUAACUGACAACUUUAAUUCAUGUGUUACACUCUGCUUAUCUGGAAACUGACUUUUACUCCUGAUAAGCCGUGAUCUAAU